rnacentral:rRNA from 1 species
UACGUAGGUGGCAAGCGUUGUCCGGAAUUACUGGGCGUAAAGGGCGUGUAGGCGGCCUUUUAAGUCAGACGUGAAAUCUCUGGGCUUAACCCAGAAAUUGCGUUUGAAACUGGAAGGCUUGAGGAUCGGAGAGGGUAGUGGAAUUCCCAGUGUAGCGGUGAAAUGCGUAGAUAUUGGGAGGAACACCAGUGGCGAAGGCGACUGCCUGGACGACACCUGACGCUGAGGCGCGAAAGCCAGGGGAGCAAACGGG